rnacentral:rRNA from 1 species
CCUACGGGAGGCAGCAGUGGGGAAUAUUGGACAAUGGGCGCAAGCCUGAUCCAGCAAUGCCGCGUGUGUGAAGAAGGCCUUCGGGUUGUAAAGCACUUUAAGUUGGGAGGCGUUACCAACAGAAUAAGCACCGGCUAACUCCGUGCCAGCAGCCGCGGUAAUACGGAGGGUGCAAGCGUUAAUCGGAAUUACUGGGCGUAAAGCGCGCGUAGGCGGUUAUUUAAGUCAGAUGUGAAAGCCCCGGGCUUAACCUGGGAAUGGCAUUUGAGACUGGAUGGCUAGAGUAUGGUAGAGGUGAGUGGAAUUUCAGGUGUAGCGUGAAAUGCGUAGAGAUCUGAAGGAACAUCAGUGGCGAAGGCGACUCACUGGGCCAUACUGACGCUGAGGUGCGAAAGCGUGGGUAGCAAACAGGAUUAGAUACCUUGUAGUC